CUCAUGCCUGGCCGCACGGCCGGCGCCCCACCAUCCG
rnacentral:sRNA from 1 species